GCGAUUAUAGUAUAAUUAUUACAUUACAUUUUCAUUGUAAAAAUGGGGGUUUCUCCUAAUAGUU
rnacentral:tRNA from 1 species